rnacentral:lncRNA from 1 species
CGGACCGUACGGAUGGUACGGCCGGUACGGCCUUGUACGGCCUGAUCACUCCCAAGCUCUCCUUCUCUUUGCCUUCACACAAUCUCAUUCCCAACUCCUUAAGCCAUCUUCUCACAUAUUGAUCAACUCAUUUCAACAGAGAAUCACCAGGAAGUUGAAUAAAUCUCAUAGGAGUUGGCAAGAAGAAGUUAUCCCACUUUCAAAUCAGGUGAUUCCAGUUUCCCAGCUUGGGAAUAGCACAGCUUCUUCGUCGUUCCAAUCAAACCAGGAUGAAUCACUUUGUAAGAAGCUUGAUUUGGAUACAUUAAAUGGUGGAGAAUCACCAGGAGGUUGAA